rnacentral:rRNA from 1 species
UACGGGGGGGGGCAAGCGUUGUUCGGAAUUACUGGGCGUAAAGGGCUCGUAGGCGGCCAACUAAGUCAGACGUGAAAUCCCUCGGCUUAACCGGGGAACUGCGUCUGAUACUGGAUGGCUGGAGGUUGGGAGAGGGAUGCGGAAUUCCAGGUGUAGCGGUGAAAUGCGUAGAUAUCUGGAGGAACACCGGUGGCGAAGGCGGCAUCCUGGACCAAUUCUGACGCUGAUGAGCGAAAGCCAGGGGAGCAAACGGG